CAUUUUUCUCGUAACUUUAAAAUAAUGUCACACUUAUAACAUAUGGAAAGCACGUAUACAUUCCAAUCAAUGGCUGCGUCAUCAGCACAGCAGACCAAUAUAUUGACGGGAUCACAUCUCUUUGACAAAUAAAAUGCACAAUUAAAUAAAAAUGCAACUGUACCCAGUAGGAAAUGUACUUAUGCAACUUUGAUAUUAUAGUAAUAG